CCUACGGGGGGCAGCAGUGGGGAAUAUUGCACAAUGGGCGCAAGCCUGAUGCAGCCAUGCCGCGUGUGUGAAGAAGGCCUUCGGGUUGUAAAGCACUUUCAGCGGGGAGGAAGGCGGUGAGGUUAAUAACCUCAUCGAUUGACGUUACCCGCAGAAGAAGCACCGGCUAACUCCGUGCCAGCAGCCGCGGUAAUACGGAGGGUGCAAGCGUUAAUCGGAAUUACUGGGCGUAAAGCGCACGCAGGCGGUCUGUCAAGUCGGAUGUGAAAUCCCCGGGCUCAACCUGGGAACUGCAUUCGAAACUGGCAGGCUAGAGUCGUGUAGAGGGGGGUAGAAUUCCAGGUGUAGCGGUGAAAUGCGUAGAGAUCUGGAGGAAUACCGGUGGCGAAGGCGGCCCCCUGGACAAAAACUGACGCUCAGGUGCGAAAGCGUGGGGAGCAAACAGGAUUAGAUACCCGUGUAGUC
rnacentral:rRNA from 1 species